rnacentral:rRNA from 1 species
AUACGGAGGGUGCAAGCGUUACUCGGAAUCACUGGGCGUAAAGCGCGCGCAGGCGGGCUGAUAAGCGGGGAGUGAAAGCCUACGGCUCAACCGUAGAACUGCUUCCCGAACUGGCAGUCUAGAGUCUGGGAGGGGCAGAUGGAAUUAGUGGUGUAGGGGUAAAAUCCGUAGAGAUCACUAGGAAUACCGAAAGCGAAGGCGAUCUGCUGGAACAGAACUGACGCUGAGGCGCGAAAGCGUGGGGAGCAAACAGGAUUAGAAACCCUAGUAGUCC